AUGUGUUUAGGCUUGAGGUGCAACUUAGCACAUGAACCUGCUGGAUUUCUAACCAUGCCCGUUUCACAGGUUGACCUGGAAUACUUGCUAGAACUCUAUCCUCUUGAUAAGGAAGUUAACUGGGGUGAUGAGCUGUCCCUUGGUGAGCAACAAAGACUAGGAAUGGCCAGGUUAUUCUACCAUAAGCCAAAGUUUGCCAUACUUGAUGAGUGCACUAGUGCUGUAACGACUGAUAUGGAAGAACGUUUUUGCAAGAAGGUUCGAGCUAUGGGUACAUCUUGUAUAACAAUAUCUCAUCGCCCAGCUUUAGUUGCAUUUCAUGAUAUUGUUUUGUCCUUGGACGGUGAAGGCGACUGGAAUGUUCAGCACAGAAGGGAGGACUCUUCCUUUUCCACUGAAGAGUCUGAUUUUCAAUCAUUAGAAACUGAUCGCAAAUCUGAUGCACUGACUGUUCAAAGAGCUUUUAUGAGAAGGGCAAAGAACAAUCCUUCGUUGGGGUCCAAGGACCAUUCGUACUCUACAGAGGUCAUAGCAACUUCCCCUAAGGUGGAAAUAGAACAUGCAGUACGGACAUCUCGGGUUCCACAUUUGCGAUGCCACCCAAGACCUUUGCCUCUCAGAGUAGCUGCAAUGCUCAACAUACUAGUUCCUAAACUUCUUGAUAAACAAGGCGGGCAGUUGCUUGCUGUUGCUGUACUUGUUUUCUCUCGUACAUGGAUCUCUGAUCGUAUUGCUUCAUUGAAUGGGACAACUGUGAAGUUUGUCUUAGAGCAGGAUAAAGUUGCCUUCAUUCGCUUGAUUGGUGUCAGUAUUCUACAAAGUGCUGCAAAUUCUUUUGUGGCACCAACUCUUAGGACCCUUACCUCUAAACUUGCCCUUGGAUGGCGAAUUCGCUUGACCAAUCAUUUGCUUCGAUAUUAUUUGAAAAGAAAUGCAUUCUACAAGGUAUUCAACAUGUCAGGUAAAACUAUUGAUGCAGACCAAAGAUUAACACUUGAUGUAGACAAGUUGACCACUGAUCUUGCUGGCCUAGUUACUGGAAUGGUAAAACCAGUGGUUGACAUUAUUUGGUUUACAUGGAGAAUGAAGCUCUUGUCAGGACGAAGAGGAGUUGCUAUACUAUAUGCUUACAUGUUACUGGGUUUGGGCUUCCUGAGAGCAGUAUCCCCUGACUUUGGUCGUCUCUCGGGCCAAGAACAAGAACUUGAAGGAACAUUCAGGUUCAUGCACUCAAGACUGCGGACACAUGCUGAAUCAAUUGCUUUUAUUGGUGGUGGUUCAAGAGAGAAAGCUAUGGUUGAGGCUAAAUUCGUAAAGUUACUUAACCACUCAAAGAUUCUCUUGAGGAAACAGUGGCUUUAUGGUAUUGUUGAUGAUUUUGUUACAAAGCAACUUCCUCACAAUGUGACAUGGGGUCUUAGUCUAUUAUAUGCUUUGGAGUACAAGGGAGACAGAGCUUUGACCUCAACUCAAGGAGAGCUGGCACAUGCUCUACGAUUCUUGGCUUCAGUGGUUUCACAGAGCUUCAUAGCCUUUGGCGACAUUCUUGAGUUACAUAAGAAAUUCCUUGAACUCUCUGGUGGGAUUAACCGUAUCUUUGAGCUUGAGGAGCUUACAUGUGCCGCUCAAAGGAAUACCAUGGUGUCUUCCAAUGCCAUCAGUGCAGCCUCAGAAGAUAUUAUUUCAAUUCAUGAAGUGGACAUCAUAACACCAUCACAGAAGCUAUUGGCUAGUAAACUGUCAUGCAAUGUAGUACAAGGGAAAAGCCUAUUUCUGACUGGUCCCAAUGGUAGUGGAAAGAGUUGUAUAUUUAGAGUGCUUAGAGAUUUGUGGCCCAUCUUCUCUGGGAGAGUUAUCAAGCCCUCUGAAGGGAUGUUCCAUGUCCCUCAGCGUCCAUAUACCAGCCUAGGUACUCUGCGGGAUCAGAUCAUAUACCCUCGCUCACGGGAGGAAGCAGAGAUGAAAGUUCUCUCACUACAUCAAGCUGGCAACAAGGCUAGUGCUUCCAUCCUGCUUGAUGAUCACCUGAAGACAAUUCUAGAGAAUGUGCGGCUGGUGUAUCUUCUAGAAAGAGAAGGGUGGGAUUCUACACCAAACUGGGAAGAUGUUCUGUCACUAGGGGGACAACAGAAGCUUGGGGUGGCCCGUUUGUUUUUCCAGCAUCCUAAGUAUGGCAUCCUCGACGAGUGCACCAAUGCUACUAGUGUUGAUGUUGAAGAACAUCUGUACAGGCUUGCAACUAACAUGGGCAUAACUGUGAUCACUUCCUCACAAAGGCCUGCUCUGAUACCCUUCCAUGUCUUGGAGCUGAAGCUCAUUGAUGGUGAAGGGAACUGGGAGCUAUGUUCGAUCCGCCAGUGCGUGAUGCCAUACCUGAGCGACUGA
rnacentral:rRNA from 1 species